rnacentral:lncRNA from 10 species
GAAGUGUUCAGAGAGAGUGAACUGAAACUUGUUCUCUAGUCUUUUCUCCCGGAUGGGAAGCAAUGACGUGGGGAGAGAGCGCGGAGGAAGGGAGAGAUCCAGAAAGGUAGAUUCUUCUGUGUAGAAUUACAAUGUUCCUGAAAAGCCACUUUCCUGAGAAGAACUGCAACAGAUUUUCAUGAUAUCAAGAAGGCUUUAUGUUCCUGUAAGAAAGUUUGGCUGUAAGUUCCUAUCAAGAUUCUACAAGAUUGUGUGACUGCAAAAAUACCCUUUGAAGUAGUUGGUCCAGAAACACUGAAGGUUUGUAUAGAAGAGACAGACCUUCCACCCUGUCUCUUCUAUCACACAGCAAUGACUGAUAAACUGGAAAAUUUAAAGAAGACAUAAAGGCUAAAUUCCAUGACAAAUCAUGUCAGUGGACUAGUCUAAAUGGAAGUGCAAAACAGUAAGUGUGCACUGAAGUGCAAAACCAACUGAGUUCUACAUGACCGAAUAUAAGCAUAGAUCGCCAGGAAUUCAGCUCCUACAAAGAAAAUUGGAACCAAUGUGUAUUGACCCUUGCCAAAAAGUAGAGACUGUUU